rnacentral:rRNA from 1 species
UGGGGAAUAUUGCACAAUGGGCGCAAGCCUGAUGCAGCCAUGCCGCGUGUAUGAAGAAGGCCUUCGGGUUGUAAAGUACUUUCAGCGGGGAGGAAGGUGUUGAGGUUAAUAACCUCAGCAAUUGACGUUACCCGCAGAAGAAGCACCGGCUAACUCCGUGCCAGCAGCCGCGGUAAUACGGAGGGUGCAAGAGUUAAUCGGAAUUACUGGGCGUAAAGCGCACGCAGGCGGUCUGUCAAGUCGGAUGUGAAAUCCCCGGGCUCAACCUGGGAACUGCAUUCGAAACUGGCAGGCUAGAGUCUUGUAGAGGGGGGUAGAAUUCCAGGUGUAGCGGUGAAAUGCGUAGAGAUCUGGAGGAAUACCGGUGGCGAAGGCGGCCCCCUGGACAAAGACUGACGCUCAGGUGCGAAAGCGUGGGGAGCAAACA